AACGAACGCUGGCGGCAUGCCUAAUACAUGCAAGUCGAACGAGAUCUUCGGAUCUAGUGGCGCACGGGUGCGUAACGCGUGGGAAUCUGCCCUUGGGUUCGGAAUAACAGCGGGAAACUGCUGCUAAUACCGGAUGAUGACGUAAGUCCAAAGAUUUAUCGCCCAGAGAUGAGCCCGCGUAGGAUUAGGUAGUUGGUGGGGUAAAGGCCUACCAAGCCUACGAUCCUUAGCUGGUCUGAGGGGAUGAUCAGCCACACUGGGACUGAGACACGGCCCAGACUCCUACGGGAGGAAGCAGUAGGGAAUAUUGGACAAUGGGGGCAACCCUGAUCCAGCAAUGCCGCGUGAGUGAUGAAGGCCUUAGGGUUGUAAAGCUCUUUUACCCGGGAUGAUAAUGACAGUACCGGGAGAAUAAGCCCUGGCUAACUCCGUGCCAGCCGCCGCCGUAA
rnacentral:rRNA from 1 species